rnacentral:rRNA from 1 species
GUGGGGAAUUUUGGACAAUGGGCGCAAGCCUGAUCCAGCGACGCCGCGUGGAGGACGAAGGCCUUCGGGUUGUAAACUCCUUUUGGAGGGGAAGAAUAAAUUGACGGUACCCUCAGAAAAAGCCACGGCUAACUACGUGCCAGCAGCCGCGGUAAUACGUAGGUGGCGAGCGUUACUCGGAAUUACUAGGCGUAAAGCGUAUGUAGGUGGUUAGAUAAGUCUAUGGUGAAAUUUCCUGGCUUAAAUGGGAAGGGACAUAGAUACUAUCUGGCUUGAGGGUGGGAGGGGGAGACGGAAUUCCUGGUGUAGCGGUGAAAUGCGUAGAUAUCAGGAGGAACACCGAUGGCGAAAGCAGUCUCCUGGCCCAAUACUGACACUGAGGUACGAAAGCUAGGGUAGCAAACAGGAUUAGAUACCCGAGUAGUCC